UUAGUGGGGGACAACGUUUCGAAAGGAACGCUAAUACCGCAUACGUCCUACGGGAGAAAGCAGGGGAUCUUCGGACCUUGCGCUAAUAGAUGAGCCUAAGUCGGAUUAGCUAGUUGGUGGGGUAAAGGCCUACCAAGGCGACGAUCUGUAGCGGGUCUGAGAGGAUGAUCCGCCACACUGGGACUGAGACACGGCCCAGACUCCUACGGGAGGCAGCAGUGGGGAAUAUUGGACAAUGGGGGGAACCCUGAUCCAGCCAUGCCGCGUGUGUGAAGAAGGCCUUUUGGUUGUAAAGCACUUUAAGCGAGGAGGAGGCUUACCUAGUUAAUACCUGGGAUAAGUGAACGUACUGCAGA
rnacentral:rRNA from 1 species